AUUUUCCAAUUCUCUUUCCCAUCAGAUCUAAACACUGGUCUUAAUGGUUAUAAAAGAGAAAUAGUAAUACCAAAUCUGGCCUAACAGAGCUCAUUGUCUACCACAUAACCAAAACUGAAGGGCUAGUUUCAAAGAAAA